AGUUCAUUUCUGAGAGUAUUUUUUUUAUUUCUUGUCUCUGUGUGAUAAAGAAGAAAAAGAUUGUGAUAUAGAUAUAAGUAUUACUGUACCACUAAAUACAUAAUCUAGUCAAACGAAAUACGAAAAAAGGAGAAUAAUUAUGUUCAAAAUAAUUGUGCCUUUAUUAACGAGAAACUCGUGCAAAGAUAACGCGAAUUUGAGAACCGCUUGUUGUAUAAAAAAUUUCUUAAUUUCACCAGCAACGCAAAAAAGCACAUUGUCGGUGGCAAAUUUUACUCAACGACGCCAUUUUCUUUUUUCAUCGACCAACAGAAAAACUAUAGCAGCUUUUCCAGCAACUGCCGUUAAGGAACAAUUGGGAGUUAGUAGUUACCGCUUAGGACAAAACCUAGAGCUUCACACAAAAGCAAAUCGACGAGGAUUUUAUUGCUCUAGCGUUAACGCAAAUUUUAAGGAAGCGGCCGAUACUAAUUCUACGGAAAAGCUAACCUCAUCAGCAUCAGACGUUGGAACAACAUCCAAAAGGGAUUCAACAACAGCACAACAUACAAGACAACAAACUUUAUUUGAAGACUCGGACGACGAAUACAACAGUUUUGGUAAAAUGGCUCCUCAUGAUAAAACUUAUGGUGCCGCUCGUGGCGGACGUGAUGAAAAUCGUGGUCGUGAUGGUGGUGAUCGUUAUGGCAGCCGCAGCGGUGGACGUGGUGGUGAUUACCAUGGCGUAAGCAAGGGACGCGUUGAGAAAGGGGGUCGUGGCGGUCAUGAUCGUGGAGGCCGCGGUGGUGGUUUCGGUGGCGGUUAUGGCGGCGGCAGUGGUUUUGGCGGUGGCGAUCGUCGUGGAGGUGGUGGCAACGCCCAAGAUCUCUCAAUUCGCCCCGUUGACUUCAGCAAUUUGACUCCAUUCAAAAAGGACUUCUACAAGGAACAUCCUACUGUUGCUAGUCGCUCCUAUGCCGAGGUACAACGUUUCCGCGACGAACAUGAAAUUACCAUUCGUGGUAAUGCUCCCAAUCCCAUACAAGAUUUCAGCGAAGCUUAUUUACCCGACUAUGUAAGCAAAGAAAUUCGUCGCCAAGGCUAUAAGGCACCCACAGCCAUUCAGGCUCAGGGUUGGCCCAUUGCCAUGGCUGGACACAAUCUAGUUGGUAUUGCCAAGACCGGUUCCGGCAAGACUUUGGGCUAUAUUUUGCCCGCCAUUGUACACAUCAACAAUCAAGCUCCUUUGCAACGUGGUGAUGGACCCAUUGCCUUGGUAUUGGCUCCAACCCGUGAAUUGGCCCAACAAAUUCAACAAGUUGCCACCGAAUUCGGUUCUUCAUCAUACGUACGCAACACUUGCGUGUUCGGUGGUGCUCCAAAAGGCGGUCAAAUGCGCGAUCUUCAACGUGGCUGCGAAAUUGUUAUUGCCACACCUGGUCGUUUGAUUGAUUUCUUGGCCGCUGGUGCCACCAACUUGAGGCGUUGUACAUAUUUGGUUUUGGAUGAAGCUGAUCGUAUGUUGGAUAUGGGUUUCGAACCACAAAUUCGUAAGAUUAUCUCACAAAUUCGUCCCGAUCGUCAAACUCUUAUGUGGUCCGCUACAUGGCCCAAAGAGGUCAAACAAUUAGCCGAAGAUUUCUUGGGAAAUUACAUACAAAUAAACAUUGGUUCAUUGGAAUUGUCGGCAAAUCACAAUAUUCGUCAAGUCAUUGAUGUGUGCGAAGAAAGUGACAAGGAAGAAAAGUUAAAAUCUUUGCUUUCGGAAAUCUAUGAUACCAGCGAAAACCCCGGCAAAAUUAUUAUUUUCGUUGAAACCAAACGUCGCGUUGACCACUUGGUACGUUUCAUUCGCAGCUUUGGUGUUCGUUGCGGCGCAAUUCAUGGUGACAAAUCACAAUCGGAACGUGAUUUUGUAUUGCGUGAAUUCCGUUCGGGCAAAUCUAAUAUUUUAGUAGCCACAGAUGUUGCAGCCCGUGGUUUGGAGGCCACAAUAAAUUGUUGCAUGGUGGGGAUAAAAUGUCAUCUAAAAAAUCUUUUAAUGAUUUGAAAUGAAAACUGAAAGCGAAAGUCACAUUUGAAAUAUGUGAGCUAAUAAUUCGUUGAUACUUCGAAUGAUUGUUUGUCGUUCGCGUGAGUUUCGUGAGUUUUGACUUGAAAGCGGCGGCCACGGAAUAGCGGCAACACUUUUUUACCAUAAUGGCCAUUGGAAAAAAGGGUAUGUCGUACAAACCGUCUCACCACCGCUCAACACAUACGAACCGAUAAACGUCCAAAGGAGGAGGUAUAUUUGCAAGAAGCAACAAAAACAAUGUGUGAUUACGCUUGGUUGUGAGUGAAUAUAUACAACGCCGCACAAUUUCAAUGGAGUGGUGUCGUGUGUCAAUUAUUACUGAGCGUACCGCACCUCCGCAUAUGUUUGGUUUGCGAAAUAACAUCAGCAGUACACGCAAAAAUAUACCGCCACCUUGAUAGACAAUGAUAUACGCGUAUCUAUCUAAUUAAAGAAUCGUCACAUAUAUCCCUAUCAUCAAUCAAGCAUAUUUGUGCUAAGAGGCCUCUGCUGUAAAAAAGUUGGGAGCAAAUUGGUGUUGAACAUGAACAACAACAAGAACAAAGAGCAAAAUACUUCUAUCUAAAAGCAUAACAAUAACUCUCUCAAUUUAAAAUCUCAAUAAAAUUGUUGUUAACUGAAUUAAUUAUUAUAAUAAAAAUGGUGGGGACACACGUGCAGCAGCAUCAUAAUUGGACGGAGUGCAUUACAUUGCGCAGGAGUCAGUCGGUCAUGUUUAAACAAAAAAACGCCAGACCCUCAAUUGGGUUGGAGUUUUUAAAUUUUAUAAUUACUAAUGAAUAGAAAUCAAGAACAUCUUUCCCGCUGGCGAAUGCUCUCCGCUCUGUUCACAGUUGGCUUAAGCAGGCAUCUUAAAAAAGCUCGUAGAAGAGACCAGGUCUUUUAAGGACUGUGUGUGUGAAUGUGUUCUUUGUUGUGUAUAUCGACAGCUGGAUCAUUGUUACUGGUGAUGAUUUGGUUUUUUUCCAAUCUAUUUCAAAACAAAUGUAUAGAAAUGUCAAUAUUAAUGGAACAGUUGGAGAGACGUAUCCAAAGUAUGUGAAAUCGUAUAACAAAUGUUGAAUAGGCUGUUCAAGACCAAACCCCUCAAAGACGGCGGAUAUCAUCAUUUGGUUUUACGUCCUUUACAAAACAGAGUACGUCCCCGGCACAAAAUAGUCUUACAACUCCUCAACAAGACACAAGCAAAGGACACACAUUUCCUACAAAAUGAGAACAACAACAACGAAAGUAUAACAACAAAAACCAGUCAGAGUAGUAGCUUAUUUUAGGAAAUCUACAUACACAAUCAACAAAAUCCAUCGGAUGCCUGCCUUUAACUUCUGUACACAAUGGAUGCUGGAGCCUUUGAAUGACACACUAAAGAAACGCACUCAACCUCAUCAGAAUCAUAUACGUCGAUGGCAUUAAAUAUGUAAUUAAUUUCGAUUAUCCACAAUCAUCGGAGGAUUAUAUCCAUCGUAUUGGUCGUACUGGACGUUCAAACACAACUGGCACAUCAUAUGCAUUCUUCACACGCAACAACUCCAAACAGUCGAAGGCACUGCUUGAUGUUCUUCGUGAGGCUAAUCAGG